UACGUAGGGUCCGAGCGUUGUCCGGAAUUAUUGGGCGUAAAGGGCUCGUAGGCGGUCUGUUGCGUCGGGAGUGAAAACUUACAGCUUAACUGUGAGCGUGCUUCCGAUACGGGCAGACUUGAGGUAUUCAGGGGAGAACGGAAUUCCUGGUGUAGCGGUGAAAUGCGCAGAGUAUCAGGAGGAACACCGAUGGCGAAGGCAGGUCUCUGGGCAUUAACUGACGCUGAGGAGCGAAAGCAUGGGGAGCGAACAGG
rnacentral:rRNA from 1 species